rnacentral:rRNA from 1 species
CGCCUGGGGAGUACGGCCGCAAGGUUAAAACUCAAAUGAAUUGACGGGGGCCCGCACAAGCGGUGGAGGCAUGUGGUUUAAUUCGAUGCAACGCGAAGAACCUUACCUACUCUUGACAUCCAGCGAAUCCUUUAGAGAUAGAGGAGUGCCUUCGGGAACGCUGAGGACAGGUGCUGCAUGGGCUGUCGUCAGCUCGUGUUGUGAAAUGUUGGGUUAAGUCCCGCAACGAGCGCAACCCUUAUCCUUUGUUGCCAGCACGUUAUGGUGGGAACUCAAAGGAGACUGCCGGUGAUAAACCGGAGGAAGGUGGGGAUGACGUCAAGUCAUCAUGGCCCUUACGAGUAGGG